rnacentral:rRNA from 1 species
CAGCAGUCGCCACGGUAAUACGUAGGGUGCAAGCGUUAAUCGGAAUUACUGGGCGUAAAGCGUGCGCAGGCGGUUAUAUAAGACAGAUGUGAAAUCCCCGGGCUCAACCUGGGAACUGCAUUUGUGACUGUAUAGCUAGAGUACGGCAGAGGGGGAUGGAAUUCCGCGUGUAGCAGUGAAAUGCGUAGAUAUGCGGAGGAACACCGAUGGCGAAGGCAAUCCCCUGGGCCUGUACUGACGCUCAUGCACGAAAGCGUGGGGAGCAAACAGGAUUAGAGACCCCAGUAGUCCCUGUCUCUUAUAC